GUAGGUGGCAAGCGUUGUCCGGAUUUAUUGGGCGUAAAGCGAGUGCAGGCGGUUCAAUAAGUCUGAUGUGAAAACCUUCGGCUUAACCGGAGUAGUGCAUUGGAAACUGGGAGACUUGAGUGCAGAAGAGGAGAGUGGAACUCCAUGUGUAGCGGUGGAAUGCGUAGAUAUAUGGAAGAACACCAGUGGCGAAGGCGGCUCUCUGGUCUGUAACUGACGCUGAGGCUCGAAAGCAUGGGUAGCGA
rnacentral:rRNA from 1 species